UAACAAGGUUUCCGUAGGUGAACCUGCGGAAGGAUCAUUAAUUAUGUUAAAGCGCCUUACCUUAGGGUUUCCUCUGGGGUAAGUGAUUGCUUCUACACUGUGAAAAUUUGGCUGAGAGACUCAGACUGGUCAUGGGUAGACCUAUCUGGGGUUUGAUCGAUGCCACUCCUGGUUUCAGGAGCACCCUUCAUAAUAAACCUAGAAAUUCAGUAUUAUAAAGUUUAAUAAAAAACAACUUUUAACAAUGGAUCUCUUGGUUCUCGCAUCGAUGAAGAACGUAGCAAAGUGCGAUAACUAGUGUGAAUUGCAUAUUCAGUGAAUCAUCGAGUCUUUGAACGCAGCUUGCACUCUAUGGUUUUUCUAUAGAGUACGCCUGCUUCAGUAUCAUCACAAACCCACACAUAACAUUUGUUUAUGUGGUGAUGGGUCGCAUCGCUGUUUUAUUACAGUGAGCACCUAAAAUGUGUGUGAUUUUCUGUCUGGCUUGCUAGGCAGGAAUAUUACGCUGGUCUCAGGAUCUUUUUUUUUGGUUCGCCCAGGAAGUAAAGUACAAGAGUAUAAUCCAGUAACUUUCAAACUAUGAUCUGAAGUCAGGUGGGAUUACCCGCUGAACUUAAGCAUAU
rnacentral:rRNA from 1 species